rnacentral:pre_miRNA from 1 species
ACAACAUUAAGAGCAUCGGUCUAUCGAGCAAUAUCACUCGCUCUGUGGAAGAUCUUCCCAUUGUUGU